CUGGCUCCCAACGGACUUUCUCUCCUUCUUCCUUUCAUUACUAGAACCCUUCAAGUUUUAGCUCCUCAGCUAAAGACUACAAUUCCUAGCCUUUCUUGCAACCAGGUGUGGCCAUAUGUCUAAGUUCUGUCCGAUGGGAAGAUUGCAAGUGAUGUAUGCAACUCUAGUUGGAUACUCAAUGGGAGCUGCCUGCCCAUCACUUCUUUUCCCUUCUCAUUGGCAGGGGGUGGUCGUGUUGAACUCUUCCUGACCAUGCAGAUACAGUGAGAAGACAGCUGUCUAUGAAAUGGAGCCUCACCAGACACUGACUCUGCUGUUCUUGGACUUCUCAGCCUCCAGAACUGUGAGAAAUAAAUGCCUGUUGUUUAAGCCACCAGGUCUAUAGUAGUUGACCAGUCUAUGCCAGCUUGACCAGACUGAGACACAUGUCUUUUGAUUAUAUGACAAUCUUUUACAUCCUUUCCCCCUUUACCAUUAGCCUUCAGUGGAACCUCUGCAGAUGUAGAAAGGAUAUUUGGGACUUGCCAUCUUCCAACACAUUGUGCUGCAUUACAGGAAGUUUCCAGAAUCCAAGAGACUGAAAUACACUGGCUCAACAGAGUGAGCCCAGGACAUUUAAAUGUAUCUGACAGGAGAGUAGAGUAGAGAGAGUAGAGGCUACCAACACGAU
rnacentral:lncRNA from 1 species